GGGCGAGUGGUGGAAUGGUUUACACGUAAGUUUCAAAAACUUAUGAGCGCAAGCUCAUGUGGGUUCGACUCCCACCUCGCCCA
rnacentral:tRNA from 1 species